GGUGUGAGCCACCGCGCCCGGCCUUCAACAUCAUUUUUAAUGGCUCAUAGAAUUCUAUGUUAUGGGACAUCAUCAUUUACUAGUUUAUUUACCCGAUUUCCUGUUAUUGGACAUUUGGGUUGUAUAAACUUUUUCCACCAUUACUAAUAAUGCUGUGGCAAUUAAUAGCCUUUGCACUCAUCCAUGAUUUUUUUCCCCAGGGCUUAUCAGAUGAUUUUUCUGGAAAGGGUGUACAUAUUUUAAAGGUUAAAAAAACUCAUGUCCCUAAAUGGCCUUCCCAGAAAGACUGUCAAUUUGCACUAUAUGUGACAGCACCUCAUACUUUUUAAGGUGCUGUCUCAGUGGCUUCUCAGCACGGCCCUGUGUGAUAAGCAAGGCAGAUAUGAUGACUUAUCUUUCGGAAACUGAAAAAACUAAAGUGCAAACAGAUCCCCCCAGGGAAUGUAACAAAGUGAGUUGCCAUAGAGAGACACUGAAUCUGAUAAAACAAUGAAACGCCGGGAGACAGUUGACAAAACAAAAAGCUAUGGUAGCUGCUCUGAAGCUCCUGAGAGAAAUUAGAUCUCAGGGACAAUUGUCUGUUAAGUGUUUGGCAAUCAAAUCAUGUCAUCGGCAUGCAGGAGAAAGCAUACCUUUCUGUAUUCUGUUGUGAGAGCAAGCACUUGAGGAGCCAGGAGUCCAGCUCAUCCACGAUCCCAGAGUGGAUAAGUGAUUUAGACAAGGCCACUCAGAGAGUUAGUGGCCGACUCAGAAUGGAAAGCCAGGUAUCCUGACUCCUAGCCCAGUGCUCUCUGACAAACAAUGUGCGUCUCCAAGACACCUGGGCUGUGGCCAUUGACCAAGUCACUCAAACUUCAGUAGUUGUCUAGACUAGAGCAGUGACCUGGGGAUCUUAUUAAAUUCUGAUCCAGUCUGUCUGGAGAGGGGCCUGAGGUUCUGCCUUUCUAGCAAGUUGCCAGGUGAUUCCUAUGGUCCAAACCACUCUUAGAGUAGCAAGAAGCUAGAGAAUGGCUCAGGUUAAAGACAAAGCAAGUGACCUAGAUAAAGACAGGGCUUAUUGGCAAAUAAUACAGCAUUUUAAAUGCUGAUGAUGGAAAAGGUGUUCUUGGUUGUUAUGAGUCUUAAAAUAAAGGUCUUGUCCCUCUUCUGCCAUAAACACCCUGACAUGAGACCAACUCAACAAGCCAAAGGAAAGCCUAGGGCCUUGGUGGCAGAGGGCGGUUCGAAUACACCCACCAACAGCACAAUUGGCCCCUUCAUUAUGUGGAAGAAGCCGCAGCAAGGCAGCCAGAAUAAAAACCACUUUGUUUAACAUUCCAAAGGCGUUCCCAGUGUCCCCCAGAGUCCUCAUUAAUUACCUGGAGAAUUACCAAGGGGUUCUUGGACAGGAUGAGAGCCUCCUUCCCCUGCAACUCACCACCCUUAUGACACUCGGAUGACGAAAAACAGCCCUUGAUGAGAGAAGAGGAACGGAGCCAGGGCACAGAAGAAGGGCAUUGACCUGUGAGAUUUCCAAGGCACAGACAUGGCUUGCUCUUUCUCAAACAGAGGCAAAGGAUGCCGGUGCUGUUGACAGUCCUGAGCAUGAAUCUUUGGGACUGCAAAUGUUUCUUUAGGUAUGAAGAUCAUUCAGCUAUUCAUUCACCAAGCACUUGUUGAUCAUAGCCAAGAACCACAUAUUGUGCUAAACUUGGGAGAAUCAAAGAGGAACAAUAUGAUAUUCCUGUCUUUGAAGACUUUGUGAUUUAGUUGGAGAGAUGUAUGUACAAGAAAAUCAUUUAUGGCCGGGUGCGGUGGCUCAAGCCUGUAAUCCCAGCACUUGGGAGGCCGAGAAGGGCGGAUCACGAGGUCAGGAGAUCGAGACCAUCCUGGCUAACACGGUUGAAAAAGUCCAAGAUUUGCAGUCUGCAAGUUAGAGACCCAGGAGAGCCAAUGUCCAGUUGCAGUCUGAGUCCAAAGGCCUGAGAACCAUAAGAGCUGAUGGUAUAAGUUCCAGUCCAAAAGCCAGCAGGCUUGAAACCCAAGAAGAGCUGAUGUUUCGGUACAAGACUGAAGGUGACUGAGGCCAAACCAGUAUGGGAGCUCCUUUGAAAAACCCAGCGAGGGCCAGGAAGGCCAGACAAGUGGACUUUCAUUGCAGGGAAAUCAACUGCCCCUUCAUUCUUCCUCAGGCCUUCACAAUGAACGGAAAGCUGCAGUUUCCUCCUCUGUAUUCUUUGUCCACUCCCACUCGCUUCAUAUGCCCCACUGACCCAGGUAUGAGAAACCCGGCCUGCACCUUCUAUAGCACCACAAGCCUAGACUGAGGAAAGAUUCAUAAACGCCACUCUUCUUCGAGUAGCCUACCUUCGCGAAGUCUCACCAACCCAUGUCCUAGAUCCUGCUGUAGUCCUUGGCCUCUGAGAGUUUACACUGUUGCCUCCGCCACGGAAAUAAUGCCUAUUGAGCAGCCACAAGGAGGCAAGCACCAAACACACAAUCUCUAGGUCUUCAGGCCCUGUAAGUUUCAGGUGGGUAUUGUUAUCCUUGCUUUAGAGGUGAAACUGGGUCCAGAGAUAUUAACAAGUACAAAGUCACACACAGGAAGUGAACAUUUUAAAUCUGCUUGGCCUAGCCCAGGAGUUUUUGCUCUUCAUCCCUCUGCCCUCCUGAUCCUUCCUGAGCCUUCACUUAGAAAUGAUUGCUCCCUUCUUGGGCUCUGUGGCUCUUUUAAUUUCUCCUACAGGGCAUACAGUCAUGAACUGUAUGUGAACCAGUGCAUAUAAAUCCUAUCUCCCUACUAGGUGGAGAACUUUGAAAGAGUAAGGCUAGGGUUAUUUCAUCUUUGUGUUUUCUUUGUCCCCAUGCCAAGGGAGCAGAGAAGACAUGCUAAGUUGCGUGGGGUUCGGAGCUGGACUGUAGAGAACCUGGUUGUAGAGUUCUUGGGAAGACUUUUGGGGGUUGAGACUACCAAGAAGGAUCCUGAGAUCUUAUUGGCAGAGGGUAGUGAAUUGGGACAAAGUUCUCUGUUGGAGGGAGGAUAGUAGGAAUUCUAGUGCUUUGGGGAUUAACUGCCUGGACAAAUACUUUGGAAGAAAUAUGGAAAAGUAGUAGGGAUGGGGGUGCAGGGAAAAGACAUGGAAGAGGCUCGAACAGUUGAUUCCAACCAAGUCAUAGUGUGAGGGGCUUCCUAGAGACCCAUCACUCUCACACUUUUUUCUCUUUGGACUGCCCUUUCAGAGACACCAGGAAGACCGUGGCUUCACCCCAUUGUCACUCCUCUGUCCACAUGGUUUUUCCUCAGUGCUGUGCAGCGGCUUGGCUGGAGGCUUCAGGCAUACUGAGCAGAGGCAGAAGGUAGAUCAUGGAGAAAGAAAAGGCAGAGGCCAUCCUAAUCACGUGAUGCAGCGCUGGCCACCCCACACUGGGGAGCCAGGGCUACAAAGCUGUCUGGCAAACUGUCUGGGGCCAGUAAUGAUACAACUGCAGGCCAAGCUGUUGCAAGUUGACAUGGCUCCAAGAGAUCUUGAAAAGAGGAAGAGCAGCUUUGUAAAGGUCAAGCUUCCUGGGGAAACAAGGUGGAGCCUAGUGAGGCCCUCGCCAGGUGUGUGAUGGGGCAGGUCAUGCUCUCCUCCCCUUAGGCUCUUCAUGCAGCCUCACACUGAGGAGCUGGAUUAGAUGGAGGACUUCUUCUACUUAUUAGGGCUCUAGAAGCUCUGAAGUUCUGCAAAGAGGCCAUGAGAGAAGUGAGAAGCUGGGUGGUAGGAGCCCUGAAACUCUCAUCCUCAUUUCAGUGAAGCAGCUCCUCUAAGCACCUGCUUUCUGUGCUUAGCUGAUCCUGGAAAGACUUUCUUCCUGCCUGUGCCAUCCAUACAACUGACGUGAGGGCUGAGCAAUCUUCCUCUCUCUUCUCCCUCUGUGGAUAGUGCACGCCCACACAAAAAUCACGGGAAAAUUCACUCAGUUCUCUACUGUAGGCUCACAGUGAUGUAUUAGAAAGUUCAGCCAGGUGCAGUGGCUCACGCCUGUAAUCUCAGCACUUUGGAAGGCUGAGGUGGGCAGAUCA